rnacentral:lncRNA from 1 species
GCCAACACCAUUUCCGAAUGAGAAUUCCAGGUGUUUUGUAGAUCUGGCAGAUUUUCUAGUUGUCACGUGAGUACCCAACUUGACUUACUAAUCCUACUUAUAUCUAUUUCGAAUUCGAACACCAUUUCUACACCAAACCCUUUCUCCACUCCAGGGCGUAGGAUAUAUAUACAAUUGGAAUCCGAGCAUACUGGAUUUGGUCCUACCCAGAAGCAGCAGAUUCCACCCAAAAUCCAAUGUAUUAAGCCGUUUUUUUGGCUUAGAUUCCAGAAUCAUUCCUCCUCCGCGGGCUUUGGAACUAUCUGUGUUCUGCUUAGUGAGGGCCCACUUUGAUACUUCUAUCUUCAUCUUCCUGGGUAGAACCCUGAGUGCAGUAUACAAACUUUCCAACUACGGCUUUUUUGAAUCAUGAUAGGGUUGGUUGGUCUUCCAAUCACGUACAGUAUAACAAUCAGUUCUUUGAAUAUUAGUAUUCAAGCAAAGUCAC